UACGUAGGGUGCAAGCGUUGUCCGGAAUUAUUGGGCGUAAAGGGCUCGUAGGCGGUCUGUCGCGUCGGAUGUGAAACCUCGGGGCUCAACCCCGAGCCUGCAUUCGAUACGGGCAGACUAGAGUUCGGUAGGGGAGACUGGAAUUCCUGGUGUAGCGGUGAAAUGCGCAGAUAUCAGGAGGAACACCGAUGGCGAAGGCAGCUCGCUGGGACGGUACUGACGCUGAGACGCGAAAGCGUGGGGAGCAAACAGG
rnacentral:rRNA from 1 species